rnacentral:rRNA from 1 species
UAGGCGUAAAUGAUGCGAGUUAAGUGUGGGGGCAUCUACGAGAUGGCCCUGUGCUGUAGGGUAGCCGUUAAACUCGCUGCCUGGGGGGUACGGUCGCAAGGCUGAAACUUAAAGGAAUUGGCGGGGGGAGGCACCACAAGAGGUGGAGGCUGCGGUUCAAUUGGACUCAACGCCGGAAACUCAUCGGGAGCGACAGCAGUAUGAUUGCCAGGUUGAUGACCUUGCUUGACAAGCUGAGAGGAGGUGCAUGGC